rnacentral:rRNA from 1 species
GGCGAACGCUGGCGGCGUGCUUAACACAUGCAAGUCGAACGGAAAGGCCCUGCUUUUGUGGGGUGCUCGAGUGGCGAACGGGUGAGUAACACGUGAGUAACCUGCCCUUGACUUUGGGAUAACUUCAGGAAACUGGGGCUAAUACCGGAUAGGAGCUCCUGCUGCAUGGUGGGGGUUGGAAAGUUUCGGCGGUUGGGGAUGGACUCGCGGCUUAUCAGCUUGUUGGUGGGGUAGUGGCUUACCAAGGCUUUGACGGGUAGCCGGCCUGAGAGGGUGACCGGCCACAUUGGGACUGAGAUACGACCCAGACUCCUACGGGAGGCAGCAGUGGGGAAUAUUGCACAAUGGGCGGAAGCCUGAUGCAGCAACGCCGCGUGCGGGAUGACGGCCUUCGGGUUGUAAACCGCUUUCGCCUGUGACGAAGCGUGAGUGACGGUAAUGGGUAAAGAAGCACCGGCUAACUACGUG